UACGUAGGGUCCAAGCGUUAAUCGGAAUUACUGGGCGUAAAGCGUGCGCAGGCGGUUGUGUAAGCCAGAUGUGAAAUCCCCGGGCUUAACCUGGGAAUGGCAUUUGGGACUGCACGGCUAGAGUACGGCAGAGGAGACUAGAAUUCCUGGUGUAGCAGUGAAAUGCGUAGAUAUCAGGAGGAAUACCGAUGGCGAAGGCAGCCCCCUGGGACCUGACUGACGCUCAUGUACGAAAGCGUGGGGAGCAAACAGG
rnacentral:rRNA from 1 species